UUCCUACGGGGGGCAGCAGUGAGGAAUAUUGGUCAAUGGGCGAGAGCCUGAACCAGCCAAGUCGCGUGAGGGAGGACGGUCCUAUGGAUUGUAAACCUCUUUUGCCGGGGAGCAAAAAGCGGUACGUGUACCGCAUCGAGAGUACCCGGAGAAAAAGCAUCGGCUAACUCCGUGCCAGCAGCCGCGGUAAUACGUAGGGGGCAAGCGUUAUCCGGAUUUACUGGGUGUAAAGGGAGCGUAGACGGCUGCGCAAGUCUGAAGUGAAAGCCCGGGGCUCAACCCCGGGACUGCUUUGGAAACUGUGU
rnacentral:rRNA from 1 species